CAGAUGCAGCAUAGCUCUAAAAGACCUCUCCUGGGUUUAAUCUACAUUAUGCAUCUUGGAAUUUAAUAGGUGGAGUGUCUGAAUCAUAAGAGGAGCACAUGAACAUAGGUACCCACUGUUGACAGAAUCUCCCCCUCUGCUGGGUCUUUGAUCUUAGAGAAUGGAAGAAUGAAUCCAUGGACCACCUGAAGUAAGCCACAGGAUAGAUUUUAUUGAUAGUUUUUGGCCCGGGGCUGGGUUUGAACCUGCCACCUCUGGCAUAUGGGGCCAGUG